GUCGCUUCUCGGCCUUUUGGCUAAGAUCAAGUGUAGUAUCUGUUCUUAUCAGUUUAAUAUCUGAUACGUUCUCUAUUUGAGAACAAUAUAUUAAAUGGAUUUUUGGAACAGGGAGAUGGAAUAGGAGCUUGCUCCGUCCACUCCGCGUAUCCACCUGGUAUUGCAGUACCUCCAGGAACGGUGCACCCCCA
rnacentral:snRNA from 1 species